CAUGUGAAAAGUUUAUGCAGAAGAUCUCCUGAUUCAAGUAGAUCUGGAUCAGGCAUUGGAAGAGAAGCCUGAAGUGAUGAUGGAUCGUUAGUGGAUGUCCCUAGAGAAGAAGGCUUGUUCUAUGAUUAGAGGAUAUUUGACAGAUGCGGCACUCUAUUCGGUGUUAGAGGAGAGGACUCCAAAAGGUUUGUGGUCGAAGUUGCACAUCAUGUAUAUGAAAAAAAAUAUGUACAACAAGUUGAUGUUGAAGAAGAGACUGUACAGCCUUUGAUUGAAUGCAGGAAGGCAGAGAUAACAUCCAAAAAUUUGAUCAAGUAUGCAAUGAGUUGCUGAACAUCAGGGUGAAGAUAGAAGAGGAUGAUAAGUCAUUGCUACUGCUAUGCUCGCUGCCCC
rnacentral:lncRNA from 1 species